CCCUGCAUCCCCUAUGCACGCGGCAAUGGCGCCAACCCGCCGGCGGCCUGCUGCAGCGGCGUUAGGAGUCUGGCCAGCUCAGCCCGGAGCACCGCUGACAAGCAAGCGGCGUGCAAGUGCAUCAAGAGCGCUGCUGCUGGGCUCAUCCCUGGCAAGGCCGCCGGCAUCCCCACAAAGUGUGGCGUUAGCGUCCCCUACGCCAUCAGCUCUUCGGUCGACUGCUCUAAGAUUCGCUGAUCAAGCACCUGCUGCCAUCGUUGCUGCCUAUAACUCCAUUGAUCUACGCUUAGUACGUUGAGGUCACACACACACACACAUACAUAUAUAUGAAUAAAUGCUAUCAUAUUAUCUCACUGCGUGAGAGAGAGAGGAGUACGUACGUCCAGCCAGCGCAUGGCCGGUCACACUGUUGUAUCGAUGUUUGGUUGUUCCUCCACUCCCUGAGUUUGGUGUACUUUGUACCAUGUGUACUUUUGAUAUAUGGAUUGUAUACUCAGCUGAUCAGCUCUUUUUUUUUUCAACCGGGUGUGCCCCUUUCCAUUAAAAUAAACGGAAAUACAACAGUCUCCGAUACAGCCAGGAAGCAAGGAAAGAGGAGCAGCGAGUUCAACGCACUGCCAGAAAACCCACUGUGCUCGCCCGCCAUCGAAACGAGCACGAUGGGGCGAAAACCUGACAGCACCUACUUAGUUUGAGUCUAGCUAUUACAAACCAGGGGAAAAGGCACAAACACGAGGUGCCAGAAGAACAUAAAGCAUGUAGACUUUCAAAAGUUACCCAAACGUGGAGCCUGAGACUUAGACCCUAGCACAACGCCCCCUAUCACAACCAGGGCAGAAUGUAGAGCACAUCAGCAGCAUCAUCCAGAGAACACCUCACCCUCGUCUCCCGUCGCGCGCCUGGCCCCUUCACACAUGGCCAUCAACUUGGUUGUGCUCGCUCUAAUCAUCUAAGCUCCGAGUCGCAAUCUUGCCACUUCUUCCACCGGCUGAAGACCUGCCCAAUACAAGAGAAACGAACAAGCCGAAUACACAAUCUCAAAUGGAGAUUUGAUCAAUUGUUUUUCAAAAGUAGCCUUAUUACGCGCAAGCCAAAUAGCCCAAGUUAGUGCCGCCAAACCAACAGUAUAAAAUCUAGAUUCAUUGGGUAGGAACAUAUUACACCACACAUAGAAUUGCCAGUUGUUAUUCGGGCAUAAUUCAGUCCCCAACACAACUCCAACUGUCCAGACAACACGCGCCACAGGACACGUAAAGAACAGGUGGGACGCAGUUUCAAUAUUGUUACAGAAGGUACACACAGGGUUCCCCGGCCAUUUUUUCCUCCUCAUCACCGCUCUAGUGAGCACCGCAUCUUGAGCCAUCUGGCACAAGAAAAUAUGUAUCUUAAGAGGUAGUUUCGCCUCCCAGAUCCAUCUAUACUUGCUUCCGUGAAGAGGUUUUUCCAGCCAAUUAUACAUAGAUUUAGUGGAGUACUUAGCAUUCUUACUCAAAACCCAAAACACUACAUCUUCCUCAGCUGUAGUCUUAAGCCCCAAGAUGUACUGUCGUACCCUAUCCCACUGUUCUCUAAGAUUAGGGCAUAGACGCCUUCUAAAAAAGGUCGAAGUCUCUACCUUGUUAAAGUUUUGGACCGUACAAUCCUGAUCUGUACAGAUUUCAAACAGCCGAGGGAACCUCGAAUUGAGUGGGGGCAGCUCCUCAAUUGAGUCUUUCCACACCCUGCUCAGGUUGCCGCAUCCUAGUUUAAUCUUUCUCCCCAUCAUGUACAACUCCCUGACUUUCAGAAGAGAUUUCCAGCAUGGGGAGUCAGAUUGUCUAGGUUGCACAGUUGCCACCGACUUGUUUUGUAUAUAUCUGGCUCUCACCAAGUUUUGCCAAACUGCAGUUUGGGUUUCUAAUUUCCACCACCAUUUUACCAUCAGGCUGAUGUUUUGUUUCCUGAGAUCUUCGAUGCCCAGAACCCCUUUGCCGUUCAAUCUACACACCUUCUUCCAUUUGACCAGGUAAUAUCUAUUCUUCUUAUUGCACCCAUGCCAGAAAAAUUUACGACGGUGCUUAUCCAGCCUUUCUAUGAAAGUUUUACUCAUAAGCCACAUGGACAUAUGAUAUAAAGAUAGCUGCGACAGUACCGAGGUAAGCAAAGUAAGUCUGUCCCCCGCUGGAUGCAGCAUUACCAAUCCAGGACCAGAAACACUUAAGGUAUUUAUCUACAAUAAAUUCCCACACUGAAUCUUUAAGGGUUGUGAAACUCACAGGCAUACCAAGAUAUUUAAUUGGAAAGUGCCCAAUCUCGCAGUUAAAGAUCUCGGCAUACUUGCUAUCAAUGUCAGUGUCCCCUCCGACAGUCAUGAUCUCGCUCUUCUGGAAGUUUACUUUUCAGUCCAGACAUGAGUUCGAACAUGUAUAAGAGGAGCUUCAGAUUUAAUGCUUUGUCCACAUCAUGCUCGAGGCAAAUGAUCGUGUCAUCUGCGUAUUGCAGAACUACCACCCCAUUCGGGACAAGAUCAGAUGCUAGUCCAGUUAGGAGGCCAUUCUGCUGCGCUUUACAGAUCAUCUUGUUGAGGCAUUCUACAGCUAGUUUGAACAAAAAGGGGGAGUGGGGGUCUCCUUGGCGCACCCCUUUGGCACUGAAAAUAUGGGCCCACUGAGUUGUUAAGCUUGAUACUAACAGUACCAUUGUAUAGGAUUUGAUUCACCCACCCACACCAGGUUUCAUUGAAGCCCCUCAUUAUGUGGCAAUCCAACAGAAACUCCCAGUUAACCUUGUCGUAUGCUUUCUCGAAGUCGAGCUUAAGCACCACCCCUACUUUUUUCUUGACAUGGGUGUAAUUGAGGAGCUCAUGUAAAGUCAUGAUCCCAUCCAUAAUAUUCCUCCCUUUUACAAAAGCAUUUUGUGACAAGCUUAUCAGUUUGUCAGCAUAUUUUUCUACUCUCCGAUCCAUAGUCUUAGUAAUCAGUUUAUAUGGGCACCUAAGGAGACAAAUAGGCCGAAAUUGCUGAAUAAGAUCCGCACCUGACACUUUUGGGAGAAGAGUAAUCACCCCAUAAUUAAGGCGCUGCACGUCAAGCGUUCCAGCAUGGAAGUGGCUGAACAGCCGCAUAAUGUCACUUUUGACAAUGUUCCAGCAAUGUUGAUAAAACUCCGCAGGAAUAUUAUCAGGGCCAGGUGCUCUAUUGACAUCCAUUGCAAACAAGGCCUCUUUCACCUCCUCUUCUGAGAAGAUUCUAGUCAGAUCAAUAUUAUCCUUGUGAGUAAGUUUUUCUGAUUCAUCCCACGAGCCAGGGUCCAUGUGAAACAAGUUGCCCGGGGAGUGGGGGUCUCCUCAGCUGAUCAGCUCUACUUGCGUGCGCAUGUUAUUCAGCACUUUUGAUAUAUGCAAGACUGGGAAAGCAUUCCAUUCCAGUUUCUUGCUCCAAGCAAGACGUAGGAAUGAACCCAAUUUACUAGGAAUGGAACUAUGACAUUUCACUCAUUUUGGUUCCUCAACUAAACACACCCUAAAACUGUUUGAGAACACACAUAAUUCUAGUGAAUGCAAUCACCAACAAAAACUCGUACUGGCUUAAUUCUAAGAAAUCGGAAUAUAUAUAGAACUGCUUAAUUCACCAUCAUCCAACACACAGCAAUAUACUUCUAGUUCUAGACAGUUAAGAUAAAUUACAAACACUGUACAUGAAAGAUCAGCCAGCGAGAUGCCAAUUAAUUAAACACUGGUUGUUAGCUUGUAGUGCAACGAAAAAUUGGAAUACUCUUGGUUGUGAUAGUACGUACAAUAUACUUUAUGUUUGUUAUAAAUUGAUCGGAGAGUAUGAAAUUGUAAUUAUGGAUCCAAUCACAGUAAUAAACCGGCGUUCUGACAGGGUUCGACAUAAGAAAGCUGAGUGGACUACAGCACUAAAUGCUUGCACAAAUAGAAAGUUAAUAUCUACUUUUCGCUACAGGUGGACCAUGGGAGUAAUAGAAUUUUCUCCUUAUUUGAGUCAAGUUCUCUCCAUGCUAAGUUGAGUCAGGUGUUUGAAUUUUUCCAAAAAUAUACUAUACCUGGAAUAUAUUUAUAUAUAAGUAUUUAGACUGAAGUUCGACCUUUUUCAUCUCAACAUAGCUGGAUCCGUAUAUGGCUUAAGUUACAGUGGGAUGAUCAAUUUCCUUUUUCUAUCUUCUGUCCUCAUUCACGUAAAAAAAAAAGACAGUCAUGGGUAACUUUUGACGGGAAAAAAGAUGAUGCUUAUUUAGUUUAUGAAAAACAGUUUCGACGAUGACUUUCCCAACAAUGACGGUUGGUAAAGCCUUUAACUAUAAUAUGUUGUUUUUGUGUUUAAUUGACAGAAUCGCAGGAUCAAUUCAGCAAAGAAAUAAUGUAAUGUGACCUAAAUAAGCAAACAUAACUUGCCACUGGUAGAAAAAAGGCCUUUAGUCCCGGUUCGCAAAGGCCUUUAGUCCCGGCUGUGCAACCGGGACUAAAUAUGCGCGACUAAAGACCCCCCUUUAGUCGCGCCUCUUACGAACCGCGACUAAAGGCUUUAUUCCCGGUUCUCGUGGCAAACCGGGACUAAAGGCCCGUCCUUUAGUCCCGGUUCUCGUGGCUAACCGGGACUAAAGGCCUCCUCCGCAGAUUUAAACCUGGUUUUUUUGCGAAUUUUUUUAUUUUAUUUUAUUUUCAAAUUUCUGAAUUAUUUUAACCUCUAACCUCUAAUCUCUAAUCACCACCCCUCAUCACUGCUAGCACGCUUAACUUCCGGGUUUUAUUCUCCCUCGUUUCCAAGUCUGCACUUGUUGUUUUCCUGACAAUAGUAGGAUGUCAAUUCUAUUAACCCUCAGGAAUUUAGCUUGAGCACGAAGUGACACAUUUCACUGUUUGAGUUUGAAACUAUUGUUUUAAAAAACAAUAAUUAUUUAGUAACACUAAUACUUCUGGAAUAAUUAGUUUGACCAUUGUUUGACCACUGUUUGACCACAGUUUGACCAGAUUUGACGAAAAUUUAAAAAAACUGAAAUAAUUAUUUAGUAACACUAAUAUUCUAGAAUAAUUAGUUUGACCAUUGUUUGACCACAGUUUGACCACAAUUUGAAUUUUUUUGCCUCUCCAGAUCUUAAAAGCCCCGUAUCUUUUUUUCUGUUAGGUUUUUUCUGUUAAAUUCGGAUGUAACUUCUCGAGUAGAUGAUUUUUCAUAUAAAAAACUUUUUCAUCCGAGUUCGUAUGCAAAAGUUAUGCCCAUUUUAAGAAUUUCCAGAGAGAUUUUGCAAAUAAAGUCGAAAUUCAUAUUUGUUAAUUUUCCCAACAACUAGACCACAUAUCACAUGAGAAACUUAUUUUAUUUUAUUUUUUUGACAUUUCCACCAUUUUCUUUUGUUUUUUCUAAAACUGNNNNNNNNNNNNNNNNNNNNNNNNNNNNNNNNNNNNNNNNNNNNNNNNNNNNNNNNNNNNNNNNNNNNNNNNNNNNNNNNNNNNNNNNNNNNNNNNNNNNNNNNNNNNNNNNNNNNNNNNNNNNNNNNNNNNNNNNNNNNNNNNNNNNNNNNNNNNNNNNNNNNNNNNNNNNNNNNNNNNNNNNNNNNNNNNNNNNNNNNNNNNNNNNNNNNNNNNNNNNNNNNNNNNNNNNNNNNNNNNNNNNNNNNNNNNNNNNNNNNNNNNNNNNNNNNNNNNNNNNNNNNNNNNNNNNNNNNNNNNNNNNNNNNNNNNNNNNNNNNNNNNNNNNNNNNNNNNNNNNNNNNNNNNNNNNNNNNNNNNNNNNNNNNNNNNNNNNNNNNNNNNNNNNNNNNNNNNNNNNNNNNNNNNNNNNNNNNNNNNNNNNNNNNNNNNNNNNNNNNNNNNNNNNNNNNNCGACUAAAGGUUCGGGCCAUUAGUCGUGGUUGGCCAGACCAACCGGGACUAAAGGUCUAACCUUUAGUCCCGGUUGGUCUGGCCAACCGCGACUAAAGGCCUUCGGGCCAGCCUGAGGACCUUUAGUCCCGGUUGGCCAGGCCAACCGGGACUAAAGCCCCUCCCGUCCGCCAGCUGUCGACCGAGCGCGCUGGGCCCAGAUAGUUGGUCGCGGGUCUCCUCCCGAACCGCGACUAAAGACCCCUUUGGUCGCGGUUCGAUUAUUUUGGGGACUAAUGGGGGCGUAUGGAAGCCUCUUUUUCUACUAGUGUGCGGCAAUACACAAUUUAUUUUCAUUUCCUGGUCGAGAGAUGUAUUCACUGCCUGCAUUGCGACUAUAAAUUGCACGGAUUUUUCUUAUUGUUUCAGGCAUUUCGGAUUGAAUAUUAAGAACUCUAAUUGGACACUGUUUGAAUAUUAUAAAGAUUAAUGCCAUUGUAAGUCUAUGUUAUCAAUUACUUUUGUAGUUUUAGUAAAUUUUAGUGAUAGCCUUCAGCUUGGAGUACGUGCACUAAUUGCUUAUGGUAUAAAAAAUAAUAAGAAAGUUAUGUUGUGUCAUAUCGAAAGUGGAUAGUUGAUUGUCAGCUGCUUGCCAAUAUCGUACAACCACAUAAUUUCAGUCUUUUUUCCAUAAAAAACUGUACUCCCUCCCUCCAACGAAUAAUAAGUGUCGCAUCUUUGAACUAAGGUUGAACUAACCUUAAUUCAAAGCCGCUGUUAGAAGGGAGAGGGAGAUUGGUGGAAUAGUUCAUUGUAUUGCUUGAACCUCGUGGGCAUAUAUAUAGAAGUACAAUCAUCUACUUGGAGUACAAGACAAACCAGAACAAAUCCUAGACUAUCUCGUCUUUCCUAAUAAACAUUAUACUCAACAUCCCCCCGUAGCAGCGCAGACGGUGAGACUGGAGAAGAAUCCGGAGGCAAGCCGACGGACACUCCCCCACAGUCGUAAUGGUCGACGCAUCGCGGAAGUCGUGGUCGGAGUGUAAACCGACGAGGUUGCUCAAGCAAGGCGGUAGCCCUUUGUGACGUUUGUCGAGGUAGCCAAGAGCGUAUGUGGUGUAGCCGUGGUCCAGGUAAUCGUGCGAAGAAUGCCAUGGUCGAUGUCGAGUCGGGGUAGCUGGUAUCGAGGAAGUCGCCGUGGAGCCACAGGCGCAAGGAGGCGCCGAGUUAGUCAUGGGCGCAGUGGUGUCGAAGUAGUGGUGCGCCAAAAAGGAGACAAUGUCGAUGAGGCGUCGCGCCGGGUUUGCCAAACCUGAGGACACGUCGUAGACGAAGGCACACAUCGGUGUUGGCAGCACCGGGCAUGCGUAGACGGACGAAGACGAAGUUGACGAAACGUCGCUCCAGGCUCGCCAGACCCGGGGACACGUCGUUGGCGAAGGAACGCAUCGGUGUUGCCAACACCGGGCAUGCGUAGACAGGGACCUGCAUGAGCUGUACGCCAUGUCGGAGAAGUCGAAGAGGCUAGGAGAGAAGGACUCAACGACGGUUGAGGUGCCAAUCGGCGCGGGGCCAAUGUCGCCCGCGGUUGUCUGAGUAGACGAAGCAGUUGGGAUAGAUGACGGCGAUGAUGGCGACGCGCUGGUGCUGGACGAAGAAGGGGGGAGGCGCGGCGGCUACGGAGGUAGCUGCGGCGGCCGAAGAGGAGCGGCGGCGACGGCCUUACGGCAGCCGCCGCGGCUAGGUUAGGAGCGCGGCAGUGGUGCUGGAAGUAUGCGAGGAACCCGACAACAUGACGAAGACUGGCGCGGACAAUGGCGUUCCCGCACCGAGGGAGGCGGCGCAGCGCAUACCACGAGAAGUCGACGCGCGGAGACGACGUAGUGGACCGCGGGCUGCGACGCGACGGCCCGAAGGGGCGAUGCAGUGGCGGCGGGCAUGCCAGGGCGACGGUGGGAAGACCUCGGGGCGGCGGCGCUACAGCCCGAAGGGGCGGCGCAGCGGUGGAGCGCGAGUCGGUGCAACCGCGGGGACGACCUCGGGAUGGCGGCGUGGACCGCAUGCCACGUUCGCUACGGCCUGACGGGGCGACGCAGCGGUGGCGCGAGGGUUGGUGCAACCGCGGAGAUGACCUGAAGCGGACGACCUCGGGGCGGCGGCGGACCGCGGGCCACGGGACUACGGUCCGAAGGGACGACGCAGCGGUGACGCGGGUCGAUGCGGGCGGAAGAAGAACCAUGGGGUGGCGGCGCUGCAGCCCGAUGAGGCGACGUAGCGGUAGCUCGUUGCUGGAUCGGUGGAGGAGCGCUUAUACUCAGUGACGAUCUUCACAAAAUACCACCAAGACGUCCACCUAUUGUUGAUCAGACCGAAGAUACUGUUGGCCCAGUCCCGACGCCAAGUACUUCCGGCGACCGCGAUACACCGACAACGAACGACGAUGAUGAACGAAGCUCGCUGAUGAACUCGACGAUUUACAUUACGCGGAGACGCACCGUAGUACAAAGCUGGCCUCCUGAUCGUGAUCGAUCCACCACACCAAGAUGGCUCCUGGAACACACGCACGUACAACAACUGAGAUCGUUGCGUUGCUUUGAUCGAUUCUGGCUGUUUUCUAAUAUACAUGUACGCGAGGAAGCCGGCGUAUUGCCACAGGCUCGUAUCGAGCCUGUUUGCUUUCACAAAUCACAGUUACAAAGUACAGGGGCAGGUUACCUAUAUAUAUUAGUAAUAGCUAGCCUAGACAGACCUGUUCGGUGAUGAUCAAGAAUCCUACACGGACACCUAUACGUAAACGUGCACACAGCCGGACACGGAUACAUAUUGUCGUGUUUAACUCUAACAAUCACCCCCCUAAACACGACGUCGUCAUGUCACUCGGACGCCGAUACUACAAGGAGCCGCGCAAGCAACCUCGCCUCCGAAGGCAAUGGAGGAAAAGGCAUCAUCACCUACACCUGUACUGCUACAACCGGUGUUACACCCAUAUCCGGAGAGGACUUUUUGGACGAUUGACCAGGUAAAAGUGAAAGGGAGUGGGCGACGGUGUCUAGCAAGCGGCGAGGAACCGGCGGAUUUUGAGGAUGCGAACACAAAGGAGUGUUGGCGUCAGGCUAUCGAAGUGGAGUUGAGGUCGAUCCACGACAACAAUGCAUGGGAGCUUGUAGAUCUUCCCAACAAUGAAAGAGCCAUGGAUCUCAAGUGGGAAUUUUUGAUCAAGAAAGAUGCCGAUGGGUCCGUGAAGCACAAAGCGAAGCUAGUAGCCAAAGAGUACGUGCAAGAAGAAAGUGUGCACUUCGAAGAUGUGUUCAUUCCCGUUGCAAGGAUGGAUUCUAUGAUAUUGCUCAUCGCUCUCGCGGUUCAAGAAUCAUGGAGCAUACAUCGCAUGGAUGUAAAAUCCGCGUUUUUUAACGGAGAGUUAGAAGGAGAGGUUUAUGUGAACCAGCCACCGGGGUUCAUCAAAGAAGGACAAGAGCACAAGGUACUGAAGCUACACAAAGUCUUGUACGGGCUACACCAAGGCUCCUGGGCAUGGAGCAUCAAACUUGAUCGGAUUUUGAUUUCUCUUGGAUUUGAGAAAGCCCCACUAGAGCAUACAAUGUACAAGAGAGGUGAAGGAAGGGAUCGUCUACUAGUUGGCAUCUACGUCGACGACCUAUUGAUAACUGGAGCAGAUGAAGAGGUGAUUGCAAAGUUCAAGCUACAAAUGAAGGAGCUUUUCAAGAUGGAUGAUCUUGGUAUUUUGCGUUGGAACCUCGGGAUUAGGGUACAUAAAAAACCGGAGGGGAUCAAACUAUGCCAGGAGGCAUAUGCAAGGAAGGUACUUGAAAGCCGUGGCGUGAAAGAUUGCAAUCAUAUUGUCGCUUCAAUGGAACCUCGUCUUGAGCUAAGCAAGAAGGAGAUGGUGAAUCUACUCGACUACAGUGGUAGUGACAAGGAAGGGAUUGUUGACGACCAUAAGAGUACCUCAGUCGUGGCAUAUUUUUCUUGGUGGAAGCAUAGUAAGCUGGCUAUCACGAAAGCAUAAAGUGGUGACAUCGACUUCAAGUGAAGCAGAGUGUCAAGGUGUGUGGCUAAGGAGGCUACACGGUGAUCUCAUGAAUCGAGAUUGGGAACAAGUGGUGCUCAACGUUGAUAGUGAGUCUAUAGCUUUUCUAGCAGAGAAUCCAGUGCAGCAUAGCAGGAGCAGGCACAUUGAUACGAUGUAUCAUUACACAAAGGAUUGUGUGGAAGAAGGUAAGACGAAGGUCAACUACGUUCGCACCGAUGAUCAGCUGGCGGACAUCCUGACCAAUGCUUUGGAUCGAGAGAAGCUCUUAGAGAUGCAGAGAAGGAUCGACGUCUAUGCAGUGACGUGACGACGUCGUGUUUAGGGGGGUGAUUGUUGGAAUUAAACACGACAACUUGUGUCCGUGUCCGAUGUAGUUCAUGUAUACAAGUACGUGUCCUUGUAGGUUUCUACCUGAUCACCGAAUAUGAUUAGACUAGUUGUAGCUAGUAUAUAUAAUCCUGUACCCCUGGCUUGUAAGAACCGUGAGUUGAGGAGAUCAAUAAAGAAAAGGCCAGGAGCGACAAGCCCCUGUUGGCAAUCAAUAUUGGUUUCGCGUGCGUGCGUGUGUAUUGGCUAGAAUCGAUCAAGUGAAGGAAUCGUUCUGGUUGCUAGCUUAGCUUCGGCUAAUCGCAGGUAGUACACAGCUGGAAGUAAUCAGCUCGUGUGCUAUCCCGGUACGCGCACGUCUUGCAAACUUGGGGCUGAAGCCAAGAUAGUCAGCGAGCUUUGGUCGUCAUCGUUGUUGGUCGUCGGUCGUCGCCGUCGUCGGAAAGUACUCGACGUCGGGUCUGGGCCAACAGAUACGACAGAUGAGAACGAGAAGAUGCAGACUGGCGACGAGGUGCCGACGACAUGCUUGGCAGCCGGAGAGGGCAGAAGGGGCACGCGGCUACAGGGCACCAGCGGCACGCGUCCACGCAGCCGGAGUAUCCAUGAGCGCGCAACCGACGAUGUGUGGUGCAUGAAAACUAAUCGUAUAUGCACGAAAGCCACGAAGGCUGAUCGUACAUGUAAACAAGCAGCCCACGCGGAAUACAUCAUCCGGAAAGAGCAGCCGUAUGUGGAACUUGAGCAGCCAACAACGCAGCACAGACGCACGAGAAAUCGAUCUCGCCUACGUUGGGCACGUUAGCGCUUGAGUGAUCCUGGGCGUAUGGUACCGGAGACGGCGAACAGCAGAACCGGAGACGGCGACCAGCAGAACCGUGCCCAAAUACCGGAGAAGACUAGAAAGUCGAUGUAAGUUGGUUUUUUAACUUUGCCCAAAGAAGUUGGGUUUUCAAUUCCUUGUAGCUGUACAAGAUAGGAGGUGUGUGUGAAAUGAGAGGCCGGAGAAGGAAAAUGACAUAUUUUAAUGACCUGGACAGCAGAGGUUGGCCGUUGGCCCCAUUUAUUAUGCCAGUGAUAUUAUACACAUCUACUACAUCGUGGGUGUGUCUAGAGACGAUUUGGUCCAUGCUUGCACAAUGAUUGCCGACGAUUUGAGGAGCUCGAUGUGCCGACCAAAACAACGUGGGUGUGUCUAGAGACGGAGGGAAAACUUCCGGAGCUGAUAGCAUUGUAAAUUUAGUUACCACUCCCUCUGUUCACGGAUAAGUAUACAUAAAUUUUUUUAAGACAUAUUAUUGAUCUUGAUUACCGUAUGACGAGAUAGAAACGUUUUUUUUUCUUUUUUAAAGUCCAUUGAGAAGUUUUUUUAAGGGGCGCUUUAUUAUUUAAGAGGUUUAAGCAUUACACCCGGCCUCUGCAUAACUAAGAUACACAUAGCCAACAAAGUCCUCACGACAAGCCAAAAUAAAAAACAAAGGCGGAAUACAAAGAUGAAUAUCUGUAUGACACCUAAAAGGUAAGAGGGCCAAUCCUAAGAUCAUGCUGCCACCCAUGUUGGGUAAAAAUAUCCCUUGCUGCAGCCUCCAAUCAUGUACACACCUCCGUAAAUAGGUCUUGAUUCUCCACUUGCUGCAGAGGGGACCAUAAACGAAACGUCCCGAUACAUCUGUAGAUAACCUGCAUAAGGGAAGUACUUUUAUCAUUAAAAACCUUAUCAUUUCUACAUAGCCAAAGCGACCAAAUCACAGCAAGCACUCCCACCCUGAGAAGAAUUCUAAACUUGUGAUCAAUCCCAUGUAACCAGUUGCCAAAUAUAUUAGUAACACUACACUGAGGAUACAAGCCAGAAGCUAUCUGGAUGACUGACCAUAUAGAACGAGCCAAUUUAUAAUGGAAGAACAAAUGUUUUAUUCAUGCGGACAAAAUACACAUUGCGUACUUCCGUGCCAUUCCUCUUAAUAAGGUUAUCUUUAGUAAGAAUAACUCCGCGACGAUGAUACCACGCAAAGAUUUUAUUAUUAAGGGGUAUCUUCAUCUUUCAGAUCUUCUUAUUAUUAUCAACUAGCACAUCUGACUGGAUCAGAGCUCUAUAUAUAGACUCCACUGAGAACUGCCAAUUCCCAUGUAGGUUCCAACGAAAGAUAUCGGACCCUUGUGACAACUGUACCGUGGUUAACCAUUGGAGCAGUAUGUUCCACGAUUGGAGUCUAGGUCCAAUUAAAUCCUUUCUGAACGUCACAUUUGGCGGAAAUGAUUCUAAAACCUUGGCAAUAGUAUCAUCCUUGUGACGCAUAAUAUUGUACAGAGCUGGAUAUUGUUCCCGGAGAUUAGCAUUACCUAGCCACUUAUCCUCUCAGAAUCUAAUUUCCGAGCCAUCCUUAACUAAGAAGGAACCAUAGCGGAAGAAAUAUUUCUUCGUUGCCAUUAGUCCGGCCCAAAAAUGAGAGUCCCCAGGCUUCUAGUAUACAUGGGAUACCGCCUUAGAACCCACAUAGUUUCUCCUUAGGAGGGUUUUCCAUACAUCAUGUUCCGUCAACAAGUUAAACAACCAUUUGCCGAGGAGGGCCAUGUUCUUAACCUCAAGGUCAUGAAUUCCCAACCCGCCUUGGUCCUUGGGACGGCAAACCACACUCCAUUUAGCCAGCCGAUAUUUUUCUCUCUCGCUAUCUCCUUGCCAAAAGAAUCUCGAUCGGAAGUAAUCCAAUCUAUGUAAUGCUCCUUUCGGCAAUUGAAAGAAGGAAAUCAUAUAUAGUACCAUGUUAUUUAGUACUGAAUUUAUGAGGACCAACCUUCUAUCCAGAGAUAGCAAUUUACCUUUCGAACUACUUAGUCUUUUUUGUAGUCUCUCCUCGACGUGUUUCCAUUCAGUAUUUGUGAGUCUCUGAUAAUAUAUCGGUAUCCCCAAAUAAGUGAUCGGAAAUUGGCCCAAUCCGCAUCCAUUGAAAAGAUAGAAGUACUCCAACCUCAUUCCUAGUAGCGCCACUUAUCGAUCAGAAAACCAUAGAUAGCAGCGCAAAAAAAAAAAUAGAUAGCAGCGGUACAACGCACCCAUAUUCCGCUAUAGGAUCCUGAUGCGCCAAAGCCACUUGCAUAAUAAAGAUAAUAUUUUGUAAAACAGAAGCGGAAUACGGGUGCACCGUGCCGUACAUAGUCAUGGUAAAUUUACCCCAAAGACAUGUCUUCAUAUAAACUAAAUUAAUCAUUAAAAUGCAGCUCUGAAUAUUGCAUCAAUGAAGGUGAUUGAUCGAUGGCCCUGCACGACCACAUGCAGCGUCAGAUUGGUAUAGUUCACCGGUCGAGCUAACCAAAUUAAUGCACUCAACCACUCCACAGUCGGUCAUUAUGAGAGUACAUGUUGUUAUUAAUCCGCGCUGCACAUGCUAAUCAACCACACUCCACCGGUAGGUAUGCAUGCUUUGUCGAUCCAUGGGCCCAACCCAACAUCCAACCGUCUCCCAAAUGCUUUAAUAUACCCAGCAAACCAAUCCAACAUCCAGCGACCAAAAUUUAUGCAUUGGCUCACACCAAUCGGAUUUAUCCCUGUGGACGCAAUACUUGCCACAAUCACAGUAUACAGUUACUACUACAAAUGGUAUCGCAUGUUGGUUAGCAACCCUAUUUAAGCCCAUGCACCCCCUACGAAACACCUCACCGGUACAAUCACUUAGCAAAUCUAGCCUCUCACCAUCUCCAGCUGAGUUCAACACGAUUACUACUGCAAACUCGAUAGGGAUGGCUCGCGGUGCAGCUAUUCCGCUCGUGCUGGUCGCCAUGGUGGCCACUAUGCUCCUCGUAGCCACCGACGCGGCCAUCUCCUGCGGUCAGGUGACCUCCGCCUUGAGCCCCUGCAUCUCCUAUGCCCGCGGCAAUGGCGCCAACCCGACUGCUGCCUGCUGCAGCGGUGUCAGGAGUCUGGCCGGGGCAGCCCGGAGCACCGCUGACAAGCAAGCGGCGUGCAAGUGCAUCAAGAGCGCUGCCGGUGGGCUCAACGCUGGCAAGGCCGCCGGCAUCCCCUCCAAGUGCGGCGUCAGCGUCCCAUAUGCAAUCAGCGCUAACGUCGACUGCUCUAAGAUUCGCUGAUCAACCACUGCCCACCAUGGCUGCCGUCCAUAGCGCCAUCCAUCACCGCUGAGUAUGCUGAGGUCUCUAAUACAUAUGAAUAAAUGCUCUGAUCUGAUCUCCAUGUGAGGGAGAAAGGAGUGCGUACGCCGAGCUAGCUCUGCAUGGCCGGCAACUAUUGUACUACUACUAUGGUUGUUUUUACUUUCACUACCUUUGAGGAGAACCGAGACUUUAUUGUACGUUGUACCGCGUACACUUCCAGUAUAUAUAUGGAUUAUGCUUAUAAUCAUUUUCCUACGUAUUUUAUUCCACAUAAAAACCGUGAGAGACGAUGAAAAUAAACCGAAUUCAUAGGACCUCUUAGGGCUUUAAAUUGCAAGAGAUGGGAUAGCAGUAUAC
rnacentral:lncRNA from 1 species